rnacentral:misc_RNA from 1 species
GAUGAAGAACGUAGCGAAAUGCGAUAAGUAGUGUGAAUUGCAGACUUUAGUGAAUCAUCGAAUCUUUGAACGCAUAUUGCGCUCUUUGGUAUUCCGAAGAGCAUGCUUGUUUGAGUAUCAGUAAACACCUCAAAGCUUUUGGAUUUUUUAAUCGAAAAGCUUUGGACUUGAGCAAUCCCAACACCAAUCUUUUUGAGAUCGGUGGCGGGUUGCUUGAAAUGCAGGUGCAGCUGGACAUUCUCCUGAGCUAAAAGCAUAUUCAUUUAGUCCCGUCAAACGGAUUAUUACUUUUGCUGCAGCUAACAUAAAGGGAGUUUGACCGUAUUGGCUGACUGAUGCAGGAUUUCACAAGGGUCGGCAACGAUUCUUGUUAAACUCGAUCUCAAAUCAAGUAAGACUACCCGCUGAACUUAAGCAUAUCAAUAAGCGGAGGA